AGCAUAGAUCAGCUGAACCCCAGUCAACUGAAGAUAAGAUUUUUAGGAGAGAAAAUGCUGUAUCAAAGGAAUAGAUUUGGAAUGAUGUAUACUCACUCUAGAAGUAAAUGAAAAUGGUUUCUUUGUGCUGUUCCACUUCAGACUUUUGAUCUUCUGUCUGGUGCAAUUUCUUAUGGAUUUGUUCUCUUAUUUUGUUGAGCUUUGCAAUAUCAUGGCGCAUCUGAUGGACUUCCUCC